GGAGUACUGCCAUCCUAACCCGAGCGGUCGAGCCACAUACUCCCUCGCUCCCAUUUCCUCAGCCGCCGCCAGUGACGUCCCUCUCCCUCCUCCCGGAUCUCUCUGCCCAUCCGCAUCCGGCCGCCUCGGAGCUCGUCGCCCCGACCAGCAACCGUUCUGCUACCGCUGCCUUCAAAGCCGGAUCCCAGCGCUCUCUCCACCACCGGAUCGGUCACCUACCGGCGGCCGCGAUGGGCAAGACGAGGCAAACGACUCCCGGUACAUUCACUUCCAUGUGCGCUAGUCCGGCGCCAGCCUUGGCCUCGAGCUCGACCCCUGCCUCCUUCCAACAGAGGUGACACAGGGUCGUCGCCAUCGCUAGUGCGGGCAUCUCGCUCCAAUUUGCUUACAUGGUGUGGGUUGUGUUCAUUAUCCGCGCCGGUCUCCUCUUGGGCACCAACAUUGCAGGGCACGUCGUGAUGCCGGUUUUGAGUUAUAUUUGGAUUGCUCAGUCGGAUGGGUUAUGAAGUAUUCAGACAAUACGGUCAAGAAUGGGUGAUCCUUUUCCAUUGCCAGGUGAUAUGAUUUUUGGACGAUGGAAGAUAAAAACAAUGAUGUGGACUUUCUUUUAAUUUGUGCUAAAUUUCUGUAUUUUUGUUGUAUGUAUUAUUUACCGUCUUGGUUUGUCAUUGUGGUUGGUCAAUAAAUUUUGAAAAAUGUGUAACCGUUUUUCUGAGCAUUUAUACCAAGCCUGUGAUGUACAGAUGUAAUUAUUUCCAUAAUUCCUAAGAAAAAUUGAACUGUUCGUGAUUA